GAGGCUGACUGCUCUCUAGUUAUAGGCACCUAGAGUUAUGGGUAAUGGAGGAAAUCCUCUUUGAAAUAUUCCAUUGGACUAGGCCAUUUCAAAAAGGUGAAAAUUCCAAAAGAUAAAAAUAGUGAACCAAAGCAAUUUGCAUUUCUGAAUUUCAAAUGCAAAUUAUUUACUGCUUUUGUGAUGGAUCUGCUCACUAGACCCAGACUUUUGGGGAGACCAAAACUUAGGUUAGAUCAGGAAACAGCCAUGCCUCUCAGGAUGACAGUGUAUAAUAUCCCAGCAUCACUUUGGAAAUUCAGACCCUAUCUACGCAUCUAGUACAUCUCAAAGGACCGUGGAGAACAUGACUGUGUCAUUACAGAUAAUUCAGAGAUUAUCCUCUUCAGCAGAAAAUUAUCAGAGACAGCAGUAAUAAACAAUGUCUUGAGUCAGAUGUCAACAUGGUGAGAAAUUUC
rnacentral:lncRNA from 1 species